AGCACCUUGGGGAAGUCCUGUCAUCCCGCGUGGCUCAUAACCACGAGAACCUUGGUUCAAAUCCAAGAGGUGCCA
rnacentral:tRNA from 1 species